rnacentral:rRNA from 1 species
GGUUAAGCGACUAAGCGUACACGGUGGAUGCCCUGGCAGUCAGAGGCGAUGAAGGACGUGCUAAUCUGCGAUAAGCGUCGGUAAGGUGAUAUGAACCGUUAUAACCGGCGAUUUCCGAAUGGGGAAACCCAGUGUGUUUCGACACACUAUCAUUAACUGAAUCCAUAGGUUAAUGAGGCGAACCGGGGGAACUGAAACAUCUAAGUACCCCGAGGAAAAGAAAUCAACCGAGAUUCCCCCAGUAGCGGCGAGCGAACGGGGAGCAGCCCAGAGCCUGAAUCAGUGUGUGUGUUAGUGGAAGCGUCUGGAAAGGCGCGCGAUACAGGGUGACAGCCCCGUACACAAAAAUGCACAUACUGUGAGCUCGAUGAGUAGGGCGGGACACGUGGUAUCCUGUCUGAAUAUGGGGGGACCAUCCUCCAAGGCUAAAUACUCCUGACUGACCGAUAGUGAACCAGUACCGUGAGGGAAAGGCGAAAAGAACCCCGGCGAGGGGAGUGAAAAAGAACCUGAAACCGUGUACGUACAAGCAGUGGGAGCCUCUUAAUGGGGUGACUGCGUACCUUUUGUAUAAUGGGUCAGCGACUUAUAUUCUGUAGCAAGGUUAACCGAAUAGGGGAGCCGAAGGGAAACCGAGUCUUAACUGGGCGUUAAGUUGCAGGGUAUAGACCCGAAACCCGGUGAUCUAGCCAUGGGCAGGUUGAAGGUUGGGUAACACUAACUGGAGGACCGAACCGACUAAUGUUGAAAAAUUAGCGGAUGACUUGUGGCUGGGGGUGAAAGGCCAAUCAAACCGGGAGAUAGCUGGUUCUCCCCGAAAGCUAUUUAGGUAGCGCCUCGUGAAUUCAUCUCCGGGGGUAGAGCACUGUUUCGGCAAGGGGGUCAUCCCGACUUACCAACCCGAUGCAAACUGCGAAUACCGGAGAAUGUUAUCACGGGAGACACACGGCGGGUGCUAACGUCCGUCGUGAAGAGGGAAACAACCCAGACCGCCAGCUAAGGUCCCAAAGUCAUGGUUAAGUGGGAAACGAUGUGGGAAGGCCCAGACAGCCAGGAUGUUGGCUUAGAAGCAGCCAUCAUUUAAAGAAAGCGUAAUAGCUCACUGGUCGAGUCGGCCUGCGCGGAAGAUGUAACGGGGCUAAACCAUGCACCGAAGCUGCGGCAGCGACACUAUGUGUUGUUGGGUAGGGGAGCGUUCUGUAAGCCUGUGAAGGUGUACUGUGAGGUAUGCUGGAGGUAUCAGAAGUGCGAAUGCUGACAUAAGUAACGAUAAAGCGGGUGAAAAGCCCGCUCGCCGGAAGACCAAGGGUUCCUGUCCAACGUUAAUCGGGGCAGGGUGAGUCGACCCCUAAGGCGAGGCCGAAAGGCGUAGUCGAUGGGAAACAGGUUAAUAUUCCUGUACUUGGUGUUACUGCGAAGGGGGGACGGAGAAGGCUAUGUUGGCCGGGCGACGGUUGUCCCGGUUUAAGCGUGUAGGCUGGUUUUCCAGGCAAAUCCGGAAAAUCAAGGCUGAGGCGUGAUGACGAGGCACUACGGUGCUGAAGCAACAAAUGCCCUGCUUCCAGGAAAAGCCUCUAAGCAUCAGGUAACAUCAAAUCGUACCCCAAACCGACACAGGUGGUCAGGUAGAGAAUACCAAGGCGCUUGAGAGAACUCGGGUGAAGGAACUAGGCAAAAUGGUGCCGUAACUUCGGGAGAAGGCACGCUGAUAUGUAGGUGAAGUCCCUUGCGGAUGGAGCUGAAAUCAGUCGAAGAUACCAGCUGGCUGCAACUGUUUAUUAAAAACACAGCACUGUGCAAACACGAAAGUGGACGUAUACGGUGUGACGCCUGCCCGGUGCCGGAAGGUUAAUUGAUGGGGUUAGCGGUAACGCGAAGCUCUUGAUCGAAGCCCCGGUAAACGGCGGCCGUAACUAUAACGGUCCUAAGGUAGCGAAAUUCCUUGUCGGGUAAGUUCCGACCUGCACGAAUGGCGUAAUGAUGGCCAGGCUGUCUCCACCCGAGACUCAGUGAAAUUGAACUCGCUGUGAAGAUGCAGUGUACCCGCGGCAAGACGGAAAGACCCCGUGAACCUUUACUAUAGCUUGACACUGAACAUUGAGCCUUGAUGUGUAGGAUAGGUGGGAGGCUUUGAAGUGUGGACGCCAGUCUGCAUGGAGCCGGCCUUGAAAUACCACCCUUUAAUGUUUGAUGUUCUAACGUUGGCCCCUGAUCGGGGUUGCGGACAGUGUCUGGUGGGUAGUUUGACUGGGGCGGUCUCCUCCUAAAGAGUAACGGAGGAGCACGAAGGUUGGCUAAUCCUGGUCGGACAUCAGGAGGUUAGUGCAAUGGCAUAAGCCAGCUUGACUGCGAGCGUGACGGCGCGAGCAGGUGCGAAAGCAGGUCAUAGUGAUCCGGUGGUUCUGAAUGGAAGGGCCAUCGCUCAACGGAUAAAAGGUACUCCGGGGAUAACAGGCUGAUACCGCCCAAGAGUUCAUAUCGACGGCGGUGUUUGGCACCUCGAUGUCGGCUCAUCACAUCCUGGGGCUGAAGUAGGUCCCAAGGGUAUGGCUGUUCGCCAUUUAAAGUGGUACGCGAGCUGGGUUUAGAACGUCGUGAGACAGUUCGGUCCCUAUCUGCCGUGGGCGCUGGAGAACUGAGGGGGGCUGCUCCUAGUACGAGAGGACCGGAGUGGACGCAUCACUGGUGUUCGGGUUGUCAUGCCAAUGGCACUGCCCGGUAGCUAAAUGCGGAAGAGAUAAGUGCUGAAAGCAUCUAAGCACGAAACUUGCCCCGAGAUGAGUUCUCCCUGACUCCUUGAGAGUCCUGAAGGAACGUUGAAGACGACGACGUUGAUAGGCCGGGUGUGUAAGCGCAGCGAUGCGUUGAGCUAACCGGUACUAAUGAACCGUGAGGCUUAACCUU